AACGAACGCUGGCGGCAGGCUUAACACAUGCAAGUCGAACGCCCCGCAAGGGGAGUGGCAGACGGGUGAGUAACACGUGGGAACGUGCCCUAAGGUUUGGAAUAUUCCCGGGAAACUGGGAGCAAUACCAAAUGUGUCCGUAAGGAGAAAGAUUUAUCGCCUUAGGAUCGGCCCGCGUCAGAUUAGGUAGUUGGUGGGGUAAUGGCCUACCAAGCCGACGAUCUGUAGCUGGUCUGAGAGGACGACCAGACACACUGGGACUGAGACACGGCCCAGACUCCUACGGGAGGCAGCAGUGGGGAACCUUGGACAAUGGGCGCAAGCCUGAUCCAGCCAUGCCGCGUGGAUGAUGAAGGCCCUAGGGUUGUAAAAUCCUUUCGUUGGGGACGAUAAUGACGGUACCCAAAGAAGAAGCUCCGGCUAACUUCGUGCCAGCAGCCGCCGUAA
rnacentral:rRNA from 1 species